rnacentral:lncRNA from 1 species
AACAGAUGUCAUUAAAUAGAAAUCUCUUCUGUUUUUAGGAAGCAUCUUCACUGCCUUUAAAAGAAGUGCCUGGGCCUGUGAAAGAUGCAGCAUCCCAGUGUAGUUGAGUCAUGGCACCUAGGAAACCAGGAACUGGAAGGCUGUUUUCAAUAAAAAACAUUCAUUCCAAGAUAGAACUCAGAGGAAAUUUUGAAAGGCCUCAAGUGCCAUCAAGGAAAUCUGCCUUCAUUGUCUUCAAAGGAUGCUACAGCGUGAAGCACGUUACUAAAUAAAGAUAUUACUCAGCAUGUAUUUGCAUUAUUUUUGCAUGUGCUUCUCAGCACAGUACACAACUAUAGUGAACUAAGACUUUUUAGGUAUUGC